rnacentral:pre_miRNA from 1 species
AAAGUGGAGUGCAGCCAAGGAUGACUUGCCGGAAAUAUAUUUAUGUCAUGCUCAUAUGCCGGCAAGUUGUUCUUGGCUACAUUUUACUUUUU